UACGUAGGUGGCAAGCGUUAUCCGGAAUGACUGGGCGUAAAGGGCGCGUAGGCGGAUGGCACAGUCAGAUGUGAAAUUCCCGGGCUUAACCUGGGGGCUGCAUUUGAUACGUGUUGUCUAGAGUGAGGAAGAGGGUUGUGGAAUUCCCAGUGUAGAGGUGAAAUUCGUAGAUAUUGGGAAGAACACCGGUGGCGAAGGCGGCAACCUGGUCCUUGACUGACGCUGAGGCGCGAAAGCGUGGGGAGCAAACAGG
rnacentral:rRNA from 1 species